GACAGAGGAGCCAAGCGUUGUCCGGAUUGACUGGGCGUAAAGCGCACGCAGGCGGUCGUGCGCGUGGGGUGUGAAAACUGGCGGCUUAACUGCCAGAGGCCAUCCCAUACGGCGCAACUCGAGCCAUGCAGAGGUCCACGGAAUUGCCGGUGUAGUGGUGAAAUGCGUAGAGAUCGGCAGGAACACCCAGGGGGAAACCAGUGGACUGGGCAUGUGCUGACGCUCAGGUGCGAAAGCGUGGGGAGCGAACCGG
rnacentral:rRNA from 1 species